rnacentral:lncRNA from 1 species
CCCCCCCCCCCCCCCUUUCUUUCUCUCUUCCAAUGCAUGUGGAUGGGUCUAUCUUCCAGCAGAAGGCAGCCCUCCUUUUAUACGGUUUGGUCUCCCCAUUGACAUGUUUUUCCCUAGCCGGCAGGCCUCUUUUCCUUGGAAUCCAAUUAGUGUUCAACCAAUUAAAUAUUUUGACUCCAAUUCAUGGUCCAAUUGAGGCCCAUUAAUAAAUUAUUUUUCUUCAAAUCCUCAACUUUCAAAGUAUGAAGUUUGGUCCACAACUUCUAUUUAAUAAUCGAUUUAUCCUUUUCUUUUCCAAUUGCUUUAAAACAUAUCGAACACUAAAACGAACAAAAAUUAAUCUCUAUUAAAUAAAGUUCAAUAAUUUCAUGACAUAAAGGUUUAAUAAAAUGGUUUAAAUAAGUACACAAAUUACACUUAUCAAACACCCCCAAACUUAAUCAUUUGUUCGUCCCCAAACAAAACUAUAACCUAAAUAACAAUAAAUACACCAACAUGCAAAAAUAUUUGGUUGGACCGUUUAAUUUUUACCUCAGGAUUUGAAAUCAGGGCAUUAAAUCGACAAACUGCUUCAACUUCACAAUACCAAACUAAUAUCUACUUUUCAAAUGCAAAACUGAUGUGUUAGUGUGAAGAACUAAAUUGACAUUAAUGAAUUCACAAGUUGUCCCAAUUCCCAACCCUCUAUGGUCAAAAAUAUCUUUUCAUCUCUCGUAAGAUUCACACACCCUCAAACUUAUUCAUUUUCAAUCUUUUCCCAGUAUGUGAUUUAAGAUUGAAUUUUUAUUACUAUCCUCACCUUUCCAAUUCAGGUGGACGUCACUAGUUGUAAGUCAGCACAUCAAUGAACAAGUAUUCUCCAAUUAUUUGAUUGCUUCGACCGUCAAAAUUCAAUUAGGCUAAUUAUUCUUCAUCGAAAGUCAAAUUUCCUCGAACACUUACAAUGCAUUUAGUGCUUCUUCUUUUUUAUUUAUUAUUUUUUUUAGCACUCUCCCUUAAGCUUUCUAGAUAACUCGUGUAGCAGGCUUUAGGUCGAUAACUCUCAAAUCAGAUGACUUUAGAGAACCAGGUUUUAAAAUAUCCUUACAGGCUUAAUAACCCGAGUAAAAAAGGUUUCGAAGAGAAUAAUUUUUUAGGACAAUUUUAUCUCUGAUUGCUUUUUAAAUAACCCCUAUAACGAGUUUUAGAUCGAUGACUCCCAAGUCAGAUAACUUUAGGACAUCAGGUUUUAAAAUACGCCUGCAGGCUUAAUUACUCGAAUUAUAAAGGUUUUAGAGAGAAAUUUUAAAUUUUAAAAUAUAUGCCUCGAUUAGUGCAAUGCCCCUUAUCACACACCUAUUCAAGCAAACUGACCUCCAAUUUAAGACUUUCACCCAAUUUUAUUCAAUUAAUCUCAGACAAUUCACACAAAAUUUUCACACAAGGAAUCCACAUUCACAUCCGUAUUUUCCUAUAACAAUAAGAUCUCCCCAAAUUGUGCUAAAUUUGAUCUAAGAAUAAUUAAUUAGUAUGGUUUGAAUAAAACAUCUAUGUCCAACUAAUUCAAUCUAUCAAGUGCAUGAAUCAAUUCACUUCAUCAUAAUGUCAAACUCAUUUAUAGUGUAUGUAUAAUAUCAUGUUUUGCAAGUUCAAACUUCAAUCAAUACAUAAGCAAAAUUGUGCCUCUGCCUGAAUAGACAACCACUCUAAAAUGGGGGUUCAACUCCGGUAUAGUCCAUUUAUGGUUGACAUUAAACAUUUGCAGAACAACUCACCCCUACGUAUAGAAUUUUUGCAAUGUUAGUGGUCUCACCGUUAUAUCUGAUGGGUGGUGGUCAUUAAGACUUAGAUCUGACCAAUUAUUGAGUCUCGGCCUUUGCAAGAAAUGAAAAAUACAAAGACGUGGAAAUUUAAAAAAAAAAAAAAUGCAAUUCCAGCUAAAACCCAUACAAAUGCUUGAAGUUGGCGCACUGCUUUGAAGUCUUCAUACUGUUGGAGAUCUGGGUUCCCUUGAAUUUUGCCAUCGACUGCAAGACGUGGAUGAGAAACAGCCGAGUGGAUUGUGGUUUAUGGGUAAAUGAAGGGUUCUUCGUGGUUUAUCAAUGGAUGAAAGGGAAAGUUA